AUUGCUUUUCGGCCUUUUGGCUAAGAUCAAGUGUAGUUUCUCUUCUUAUCAGUUUACAAUGGAUAACAAAUACCUUUGACUCCAGGUAGUUUCUGCUUUCUGUCCAGCCAACAUUGUAGAGGCAAGGAAUUACAAAAGUUCUCUCCCUGAUUAAACUGAGGUAUAAGGGGGAAAAUAC
ensembl:snRNA U2 U2 spliceosomal RNA